UACGUAGGGUGCAGGCGUUAAUCGGAAUUACUGGGCGUAAAGCGUGCGCAGGCGGUUUGCUAAGACAGGUGUGAAAUCCCCGGGCUUAACCUGGGAACUGCGCCUGUAACUGGCAAGCUUGAGUGUGGCAGAGGGGGGUGGAAUUCCACGUGUAGCAGUGAAAUACGUAGAGAUGUGGAGGAACACCGAUGGCGAAGGCAGCCCCCUGGGCUAACACUGACGCUCAUGCACGAAAGCGUGGGGAGCAAACAGG
rnacentral:rRNA from 1 species